rnacentral:rRNA from 1 species
GACGAACGCUGGCGGCGUGCUUAACACAUGCAAGUCGAACGGAAAGGCCCUGCUUUUGUGGGGUGCUCGAGUGGCGAACGGGUGAGUAACACGUGAGUAACCUGCCCUUGACUUUGGGAUAACUUCAGGAAACUGGGGCUAAUACCGGAUAGGAGCUCCUGCUGCAUGGUGGGGGUUGGAAAGUUUCGGCGGCUGGGGAUGGACUCGCGGCUUAUCAGCUUGUUGGUGGGGUAGUGGCUUACCAAGGCUUUGACGGGUAGCCGGCCUGAGAGGGUGAACGGCCACAUUGGGACUGAGAUACGGCCCAGACUCCUACGGGAGGCAGCAGUGGGGAAUAUUGCACAAUGGGCGGAAGCCUGAUGCAGCAACGCCGCGUGCGGGAUGACGGCCUUCGGGUUGUAAACCGCUUUCGCCUGUGACGAAGCGUGAGUGACGGUAAUGGGUAAAGAAGCACCGGCUAACUACGUG